UCUUUAGCCAUCAAAACCCUAGAUAUCACUUAGCCGCCACUCUCCUUUUCAUUGGUAUGUGAAUGACCUUCAUGAGCCUGUCGUUGUUACUCGAAUGACAUUAAGUGAUGAAUGUUUUUAAGGCAUGUACUUGAAGAUGACUUGCAAAAAUGGAUCCUAGUAAGAACAGACACAUUCAUUAGUUCAAGAAUAACUUUCGGGCUGAAGCAGGUGAUGCUCAAUUGCAAAAAGAUAUAUGUUGCAACAAGAGGUUAAGAGUUUUGUUAGAGCUAAUAGGCAUGUUUGAAGAAAAAAAAUGAAGUGUUAUGAAGCUUCAAAGUCGGAAUAGAGGCAUGAGGAAUGUGAUCAAGAUUGAGUCUGAGAGUCGAGAGUCAAAUGGACAUAAAAAUGUCAAGAGAAUUGUGAGAGUUCAACAACAAGUCGUAUGCAGCAUGGUCAUGCUACCAGGCCCGCGCUGCGCCAAGAGGAAAACAUGGAUCAAGGCUAAAAAGAGAGUUACCGGAGUCAACCAUGCACAACAUGGCCACACUACCCAUACCGCUUCGUGUAUGACCAAAAAUUACUGAGUUUGGAUUUAUUUUGACUGAAAGAUAUUGUUAUCCACAGAGUAAAUAUGUGCGGUAUAAAUAGUGCAUUAACUUGAUGGCCUAAGGGGGACACUGCUUUUGCAGUUUUGGAGCUUUUGGGGGGCAAGAAAGAGGGGAAGAGCAUAACUUGCAAUUCCCCCUAGAGUUUCAUUCACUUCUACUCUUUUAGUACUUAUUCUUUUUUAUGUAAAUCUAUAUUAGGUUCUUAAACUCUAUUAUGAGCAGCUAUAUUAUUUUCUAGAGUUUUGAUAAAACAUUUUGUAAAAAGAAUUCUUG